UUGACGAAAAGGCAAACUUGUAGAAAUGCAGGGACGCAAAGCCACGGGUCUUCUUCAAGAUAGCCGGGUUGUCGAA
rnacentral:ncRNA from 1 species